rnacentral:rRNA from 1 species
GAAGGUGUACUGUGAGGUAUGCUGGAGGUAUCAGAAGUGCGAAUGCUGACAUAAGUAACGAUAAAGCGGGUGAAAAGCCCGCUCGCCGGAAGACCAAGGGUUCCUGUCCAACGUUAAUCGGGGCAGGGUGAGUCGACCCCUAAGGCGAGGCCGAAAGGCGUAGUCGAUGGGAAACAGGUUAAUAUUCCUGUACUUGGUGUUACUGCGAAGGGGGGACGGAGAAGGCUAUGUUGGCCGGGCGACGGUUGUCCCGGUUUAAGCGUGUAGGCUGGUUUUCCAGGCAAAUCCGGAAAAUCAAGGCUGAGGCGUGAUGACG